GUAGUCGUGGCCGAGUGGUUAAGGCGAUGGACUCGAAAUCCAUUGGGUUGUAUCCGCGUAGGUUCGAAUCCUACCGACUGCG
rnacentral:tRNA from 1 species